AAGUCGUAACAAGGUUUCCGUAGGUGAACCUGCGGAAGGAUCAUUACCGAGCGAGGGCGCUCCGACGCCCGACCUCCCAACCCUCUGUCCGAACCCACACCUCUGUUGCCUCGGGGGCGACCCGGCCGCCUCAGCGCCGGGGCCCCGGCGGACCACACAACCCAACCCUGCAUCUCUGCGUCGGAGUGAACAAGCGAAAUCAAUCAAAACUUUCAACAACGGAUCUCUUGGUUCUGGCAUCGAUGAAGAACGCAGCGAAAUGCGAUAAGUAAUGUGAAUUGCAGAAUUCAGUGAAUCAUCGAAUCUUUGAACGCACAUUGCGCCCCCUGGCAUUCCGGGGGGCAUGCCUGUUCGAGCGUCAUCUCACCAAUCAAGCCUGGCUUGGUAUUGGGCGACCGGGGGCGACCCGGGCCUCAAAGUUCGCCGGCUGGUAAGCUCGUGAUCUCAGCGUCGUGAUCAAUCACAAUUCGCUUUGCAGAGGAGCUGAGCCGGUGCCGUCAAAACACCCACUCAAGGUUGACCUCGGAUCAGGUAGGGAUACCCGCUGAACUUAA
rnacentral:rRNA from 1 species